rnacentral:rRNA from 1 species
GAUGAACGCUGGCGGCAUGCCUAAUACAUGCAAGUCGGGCGAACAGACGUGUAUCUUGCUCCUCUGACGUUAGCGACGGACGGGUGAGUGACACGUGGAUAACCAACCUAUAAGACUGGGAUAACUUCUGGAACCCGGAGCUAGUACCGGAUAAUAUAUUCAACCGGAGGGUUCACUAGUGAAUGACGAUUUUACUGUUACUUAUAGAUCGUACCGCGCCGCUUAAGCUAGUUGGUAAGGUAACGGCUAACCAACGCAACGAUGCAUAGCCGACCUGAGAGGUGAACCGGACACACUGGAACAGAGUCACGGGCCAGACUGCGACUGGAAGCAGCAGUAGGGAACCAUGCGCAAUGGGCGAAAGCCUGACGCCGCAACGCCGCGUGGGUGAUGAAGGUCUUCGGAUCUGAAAACACUGUUAUUAGGGAAGAACAACUGUGUAAGUAAGUAUGGACGUCUUGACGGUACCUAAUCAGAAAGCCACGGCUAACUAUGUG